rnacentral:lncRNA from 1 species
CAAGAAUGGCUUUUUGGUUCUUUAGGUCACUUAUUUGAAGGGACUAUAUAAAGGACUUUAUAGCCUAAAUUCAUUAAAGGUUUUCUUUUGGAGAAAAUUGGAGAGAACAUGUCUCUCCCUUUCUCUCUAAAGAGGCCGGCCCCCUUGGAGGGAUUAGCUAGUAAUCUUUCUCCUCCAAGGUCACUCAUUUCUUCAUCAAUCUUACCUUGGUGUGGAGACUUAGAGGUUCUCAAUUUUUGGGAACUUGGAGAACCAUUUCAUCCAUCCAAAUCCAUAGAUCUAAGAUGCAAGGAAUGAAGGCCCUCUCUUUAGGUGAUUAGCCUUUGCAGAUGCAAAGAGGAAUCUACAAAGGUAUAAUUUCUCAACUCUUUUUUAUUUGAGUUGAGUCUUGGUUCACCAAUCUACUAGGCUUUGAAUUUCAUGGUUAAUGUUUUGUUUUUAAGUGCAUGCAAGCAUGAUUCCGCCUUUAAUUGUUAAUUGCAUGCUUAUAGAUGUUGCUUAAAUGAACAAGUUUUUCACAAAAUUUCCUUCAAGUGGUAUCAGAGCCUAGGUCUAGUAGUUGAUGAAUCCUUUUGGGUUUUGUAGUUCAUAGUUUUGAUUUAAAUGUUGUAAUAUGUUACAAGCUUUAUUCUUGUUUCUUUGAAUGUAAAUUUUUGUUAGAAAAUUUGCCAUCUCAAAUGCUAUAGAUGUAGUUCAUAUGAGCAUGAAUAUUGGAGCUAAAAUUUGGUGCCAUGUUUUUUGGAAUUUUCGGCCAAAUCCAAAGGGUGGAUUUUUGGGUUCUUGUUUGACUUGUUAAAAGUGUUUUCAAGUAACUUUUGGAACCCCUAUGUACCCUAGUUUGGUUAUAUGUUAUUUCCCUAAAGUUUGAAUGGUUUUGGGAUGUUUUUGGAGUAAAAAUGUUCAUGGAAAUUUUUUGGGUUUUUCAUGAAUGUUCUUCAUUGUUCUUGACAUUUUUGCCAAGAACAAAAAGUUUUGUGUUUUGAUUUAUUUCAUAAAGUUUAUGUUUUUCAAAUGUUUAAAUGUAUUAGAUAUUUGUUUAGAAAGGUGGUAGAAUUAUUGGUGGGUGUGUAAGGAUUAAUUCCCUUUCACACACACCACUUGCACCACUUGCAUGCUUUAUGUCAAAACUCACAAAUCAACACACACAUCACUCCUUUCCCUCUCCAAAACCGGCCACCCUUAAUGGGAGUACUUUUGGGGCUUUUAUGCAAUUACAUAAAGUUUUGAUACUUUUGUGUAUUUGCACUUUGGCCCAAAAGUUUACGUUUUUACGUUUAGUUCCAAAAACGCUAAAGGACAAAUUGUUUUUCUCCUUUAAUGAAGUUUUUGCAUUGUUUAAAUUUUGGGUUCUAGUUGUAAUUACAUGAAGUAGUGGACUUUUGUGUUUUUACAAAGUGACCCCAAAAGUUUAUGUUUUUGCAAUAUAGCCCAAAGGUUGUGGUAAUUGCAUAUUGGCCCAAAUUAGGAUGAGAACAAAAUGGUUUUGUCUCUUUAAAUGAGAAUUGGAUUUUCAUUUCAUUUAGCUCCAUUUAAAUCAAUUUUAUGGAUACAAAAAACCAAAUGAAAAUGUUGCAUUCAAUUUAAUUAGUUAAAGCGUUAAUUAAUUAAAGGGUGAUUAUGAACCUAAGCCUACGAUAAUUGAGCUAUGUGAAAGGCCGUUUCAAAUUUGUUUGAACCAUGGGAAUGUGUAGAUUAGAUUUUGGUUGUAAUUUGAUUUGAUCAAAUGUUGUAAAAGAGCUUAAGCUCUUCUUUACUUUAAAGUAAUUUGAAUCAUUCAAAUGUUGUAAAGAGUAUAAGCUCAUCUUUACUUUGAAGUACUUCUUUCUUGCUUUAUUUGAUAUGCAUGAAAUUGAAGUAGUUGGGUCCAACGCCCCUAAGACAACACGCCUUAAUGUGAUUAAACGCGUAACUAAAAUCAAUCACCAUCCCUAGACCGAGAUUCAACACUAGGCUCGUGUUGAAUCUAAACAAAGGUUCAUAGUCAUCCUAAGGCCCUAAGGCAACUAUAUAGUCCAUCAAAUGAAUGCAAAGUUUAUGUUAGUAGUAUCAUAUACUCUUGCUUUAAAAACCGUUUUAUAAGCAUAGUGGGAGUAUUAUAUACAACUAAAACAAUCAAAUGGACCAAUAGUUGUAAUAGGACCAAAAUUGUUUUAAUAAGAUUAAAAUGUAUGUUUAUAUAUGAUGAGACCUAAACCCCUCAACCAAACCAUUAUUAAGUUGACAAGCGUGAGAGUGCUUUGAACACUCUUUUGUGGCCUUCCACCGUGGUAGGCUCCAAUCGUUUAUGACUUGUACACCGCCUUCACCCUAUCAUGGGGGAGUGCAAAGUGCAUGCUUAUACUCAAGAGGAGUCUAUAUGCAUACUUGAUGUUGUGAAGCGUAGGCAACGAGAAUGAUCAACAUCAUAUCAUUGUGAGGUUGUUCUUGAACCUCUACCCGAACUUGCAUGGUGGGAAUGACUUAACUAAGUGCAAUGGAGCCAACAUCAUAUCAUUGUGAGGUGACAUUCUCUAGAGGCCAAAUAAGAUGGGUAAUCACAAGAGGUUGUUGUGAAUGAGUAAGCAUACUCUCUCAUUAUUAUUAAUGCUAGCCAACAUCAUAUCAUUGUGAGAUGGGCUUGGUAGUAGUGAGUCUCCCAUACCCUACUAAGAGUUUCCUCCAAAACUCUCGAAUUCC